UACAGAGGUCCCAAGCGUUGUUCGGAUUCACUGGGCGUAAAGGGUGCGUAGGUGGCCGGGUAAGUCUGAUGUGAAAUCUCCGAGCUUAACUCGGAAAUGGCAUUGGAUACUAUUCGGCUCGAGGGUCGGAGGGGAGACUGGAAUUCUCGGUGUAGCAGUGAAAUGCGUAGAUAUCGAGAGGAACACCAGUGGCGAAGGCGAGUCUCUGGACGACUCCUGACACUGAGGCACGAAAGCUAGGGGAGCAAACCAGG
rnacentral:rRNA from 1 species